rnacentral:rRNA from 2 species
UGUGAACUCGAAGAGUAGGGCGGGACACGUGGUAUCCUGUCUGAAUAUGGGGGGACCAUCCUCCAAGGCUAAAUACUCCUGACUGACCGAUAGUGAACCAGUACCGUGAGGGAAAGGCGAAAAGAACCCCGGCGAGGGGAGUGAAAAAGAACCUGAAACCGUGUACGUACAAGCAGUGGGAGCACCUUCGGGUGUGACUGCGUACCUUUUGUAUAAUGGGUCAGCGACUUAUAUUCUGUAGCAAGGUUAACCGUAUAGGGGAGCCGCAGGGAAACCGAGUCUUAACUGGGCGUUAAGUUGCAGGGUAUAGACCCGAAACCCGGUGAUCUAGCCAUGGGCAGGUUGAAGGUUGGGUAACACUAACUGGAGGACCGAACCGACUAAUGUUGAAAAAUUAGCGGAUGACUUGUGGCUGGGGGUGAAAGGCCAAUCAAACCGGGAGAUAGCUGGUUCUCCCCGAAAGCUAUUUAGGUAGCGCCUCGUGAAUUCAUCUUCGGGGGUAGAGCACUGUUUCGGCUAGGGGGUCAUCCCGACUUACCAACCCGAUGCAAACUACGAAUACCGAAGAAUGUUAUCACGGGAGACACACGGCGGGUGCUAACGUCCGUCGUGAAGAGGGAAACAACCCAGACCGCCAGCUAAGGUCCCAAAGUCAUGGUUAAGUGGGAAACGAUGUGGGAAGGCACAGACAGCCAGGAUGUUGGCUUAGAAGCAGCCAUCAUUUAAAGAAAGCGUAAUAGCUCACUGGUCGAGUCGGCCUGCGCGGAAGAUGUAACGGGGCUAAACCAUGCACCGAAGCUGCGGCAGCGACACUAUGUGUUGUUGGGUAGGGGAGCGUUCUGUAAGCCUGCGAAGGUGUGCUGUGAGGCAUGCUGGAGGUAUCAGAAGUGCGAAUGCUGACAUAAGUAACGAUAAAGCGGGUGAAAAGCCCGCUCGCCGGAAGACCA